UACGGGAGGCAGCAGUGGGGAAUAUUGCACAAUGGGCGCAAGCCUGAUGCAGCCAUGCCGCGUGUAUGAAGAAGGCCUUCGGGUUGUAAAGUACUUUCAGUCGUGAGGAAGGUGUUAAGGUUAAUAACCUUAGCAAUUGACGUUAGCGACAGAAGAAGCACCGGCUAACUCCGUGCCAGCAGCCGCGGUAAUACGGAGGGUGCGAGCGUUAAUCGGAAUUACUGGGCGUAAAGGGCACGCAGGCGGUUAAUUAAGUUGGAUGUGAAAUCCCCGGGCUUAACCUGGGAAUGGCAUUCAAGACUGGUUAGCUAGAGUCUUGUAGAGGGGGUUAGAAUUCCAUGUGUAGCGGUGAAAUGCGUAGAGAUGUGGAGGAAUACCGGUGCGAAGGCGGCCCCUGGACAAAGACUGACGCUCAUGUGCGAAAGCGUGGGGAGCAAA
rnacentral:rRNA from 1 species